rnacentral:rRNA from 1 species
UACGAAGGGGGCUAGCGUUGUUCGGAAUUACUGGGCGUAAAGCGCGUGUAGGCGGGUCUUUAAGUCAGGGGUGAAAUGCCAAGGCUCAACCUUGGAACUGCCUUUGAUACUGGAGACCUUGAGUCCGGGAGAGGUGAGUGGAAUUGCGAGUGUAGAGGUGAAAUUCGUAGAUAUUCGCAAGAACACCAGUGGCGAAGGCGGCUCACUGGCCCGGAACUGGACGCUGAGACGCGAAAGCGUGGGGAGCAA